AGCGCGAUACAAACCAUGUAGUAGGAGUCCCCCAAGUCGCCGGGCUAGGGGAUCUGCUGAAAGAGGUGACAGACAAGGUAAGCAAUCAGAGCCUGCAGUGCCUUUUGGAAGCUUAGUCCUAUUUCGAAAAUCUACAAAGAGAACAAUUGUGAACCCAAAUUAAAGCUUUUUCUCUCACUCAAAAGAAAAAUAGAAACUCUAUACAACAACAACAACAACAACAACAACAAAGCCUUUUCCCACUAAGUGGGGUCGGCUAUAUGAAUCCUAGAACGCCAUUGCGCUCGGUUUUGUGUGAGAUUGUGCAUAAUCAAAAGGCUUGAAAACAAUUGAGAUUGUGCAUAUAGAAACUCUAUAUGGAAAAAAAAUUGAAAUUGUGCAUAAUCAAAAGUGGAUCAAAACUCUAAAUAGAUUAUCUUAACGCGUAGGAGAUCAUUGUUAGAAUUUGAAAACAAUUGAAACUUCAUUUUAAACACAAACUUAAUCAAUUGAUUUAUAUUUAAAUGGAAAGAAAGUAGCGGUCAAUUUUACCUAUCUUUUGUUUAGUGUAGCUCCAUUUCUAUCUUUGAUUAAAAGCUUGAAUUUUGACUUUUCUGGACAUUCUAGUGAACUUUGCCAAUAAAAGUUCAAAUUCUGAAACAAAAAAGUGAGUGGCGAACCUGAAAAAGUUCAAAUGACUUUGCCAAUAAAAGUUUUGAAGCAAUUCAUUUUUAGGAACAAAAAUCUGAAAGAGAACACAUGAAAGGGAAACCAACUUUAAAUUUCAUACUAUUUGGCAAAAAAGUGAGUGGCGAACCUGAAAAAGUUCAAAUGACUUUGCCAAUAAAAGUUUUGAAGCAAUUCAUUUUUAGGAACAAAAAUCUGAAAGAGAACACAUGAAAGGGAAACCAACUUUAAAUUUCAUACUAUUUGGCCCACACCUAACCCAUUCAAAAUGCACUGAAGAAACAAAGGUCAGGACUAUAGAACACGACAUGAACUUUUUCAAGUAUAUACGACAUGAACUUUUUCAAGUAUAUAGAAGUUUCGGUAGAUGUCUACUCAGCAGAACACAGAAGUAUGCAUAAUAAGAGAAAUUCCUUAUGCAAUUAGAAACAAUUUCAAAUGAGAAGCUCACUCUGGAGACUGAAAGUUGACCCCUUAACGUGCUCAAGUUCUCCACCAUUUUAACUUUUUCUUUCUCCACGCAUUUAAAUUCUUUCUCAACUUUUAAGAAGCCAUUGUGCAGUUUACUAUUGUAUUGUUGCAAGCUUGCCCUGCUCAGGAAAACACGGAAGUAAGAUUCAUAGAUACAUAAUAAGAGAAAUUCCUUAUGUAAUUAGCAACAAUUCCCCUUAACAUGCUCAGGUUCUCCACCAUAUUAACUUUGUGCUCCUCCAUGCACAAAUUCUUCAUCAACUGUUAAGAAGUCAUUGUGCAAUUUACUACUGUAAUGUUGCAAGCUUGCAAUGUAUUCUUGCGAUCGUUUGCACAUAUCAUUCACUGAAGUUAUUUGCAGAGUUCUGAAAAGAAAAUUUUUCAAAUUAAAACAUUUGUAAGGGAAAUCCAUACCUGUUGGCACGGAAGCAAAAGAAGGAAGGAAUGCAUAUUCUACUUUACCUUCUAAGUAACACUUGAAAGCUCUCUUUGAACUCUCAUGUGCCCUGCAGCCUGAUACACAUAUUAAAACAUUUAAUAAUGUAGACAACUUAACCAAGCUCAGCCACAUUGAAUAUCAAACCCACCUACAAACAAAAUGCUUCUGGAUCUCUUCAGCUGUUUCAGCUGGUUUCUUCACUCCUAUAACAUAAGGCCAAAAUACCCACAUCAAUACUACCUAAGCUCUGUAAUUCCUAUGGAAAACUUGUAUAUAACCAGCCUACUCUUUUCAAAAGGAAUUCGGUGUAUAAAAAAAAUGAGAAAUUCUAAAACUACGCAGCAGAAAUAAAGAAAAAACAAAAACUUACUAUGUCUUAUGACUCUAAUUCCAAUUGCCCUUCAAGCUCUCUAACUUUUGAACCACCAUGGUCAUACUGAUGAAUUCAUAACCAUGAAACCAAAAUCAUUACGUUGACAAAUAAACAUAACCAAAAACAAAAACAACUAAAUUUUUCAAAUGGGUAUCCCAAAAAUUCCCAGCCAAGUUAUCGAAAACUGAGCGACCUGUGCUGAGAGGGUGAUUGCCUUGGUCUGAAGCGUCUGCAGCUUCCUCUCCUUCUACCUCGCAGCUGAUUGCCUAUUAGCUAAAUCCUACAAAACCAAAAAAUUGAAAAACCACAAUUUCUCAUUCAAUCAUAUAAUAUCCACAAAAAUAACCCAAAAAUUCAACAUAAACACACAUAAAUAAAAAGGACGAUGAGGAGGAGGAUCAUAUGGAGAGUUUUCUGAGGGCUAAAAAGGACUUGGUGCUCACGCUGGCAUCGUAUGCUUUACACGCCGGAUAUGACUCCGAUGAGGAGGUAUAUGCGGCCGCCAAGGCCGUCGAUGCCGGGUUGUUGGAGUACGAUUCAGAUGAUAAUCCCAUUGUUCUGGACAAGAGGAAGAUCGAGCCGAUUCCAGCUCUCGAUCACAGUUCAAUCGACUACGAGCCGUUUAAUAAGGAUUUUUACGAGGAGAAAGAGUCGAUUUCAGGUAAAUUCCAACCGAACUGAGAAUUUUUUUUCUUUUUCAUUCACAUUUUUCAUUCUUGUGAAUUUAGUCGAAAUGCGUAGCAAAGUAUUCAAAGGGUCUAUUCAAUUGGAAUUUUGAAAGGGUUUUAAUUCUUUUAAUGGAUUUAGGGGUAUUCAAUCAAGAUUUUAAAUAAUUAUUUGAAAUUCAAGAUGUAUUCAAUUAGAAUUUUAAGAUAGUUUAUUAAAAUCCUUAGAAAUUCGGAUGUAUUCAAUUAGGAUUUUAAAGAAGUUUAUAACAUUUCAGGUGUAUUCAAUUAGAAAUUGAUUUAAAAGAAUUUGAGAAAGAUGAGGAAUUAGAGGGAAUUGGAGAGAUUUUAUAGUGUAUUUUAAGCAUCCACAAAUCUCACAUCUUCCCAUGAGAUUUCGAGGGAAUUGAAUCAAAAUUUUAUGUGGAAUCUCUACAAAUCAAUUAAACUUCAUAAAAAUCCAUAGAUUUAUAAAUCUAUGAAAGUCUCUCAAAUUCUCGAUUGAAUAGACCUCCUAAAUUUGAGUGAGAGAGAAUCUAGACCGGCAGAAGUUCUCAAGGAGACAUUUGAAAUGGAAGGCUAGAGUUAACUGGUGUUUUGUUUUCCUUGUUUAGGGAUGGGUGAAGAUGAUGUUUUUUAGUACAAGAAGAGCUUGGCCAUCCGUACGUCGGGUUUUGAUGUACCGAGGCCAGUUAAGACAUUUGAAGAUUGUGGAUUUUCUUCACAACUCAUGGCUGCCAUAAAAAAACAAGACUACCAAAAGCCGACACCAAUACAAUGCGCAGCUCUACCCAUAGUUCUUUCCGGGAGAGAUAUAAUUGGUAUUGCGAAAACUGGUUCUGGAAAGACUGCCGCUUUUGUCCUUCCAAUGAUUGUCCACAUUAUGGAUCAGCCAGAACUUCAAAAAGAAGAAGGUCCCAUUGGAGUGAUAUGCGCUCCUACUAGAGAGCUGGCGCACCAAAUAUACUUAGAGUCCAAAAAAUUUGCGAAAUCACAUGGGAUACGUGUCUCUGCUGUAUGGUGGAAUGUCUAAGCUUGAUCAGUUCAAAGAACUUAAGGCAGGAUGUGACAUAGUUGUUGCUACUCCUGGGAGAUUGAUAGACAUGCUUAAAAUGAAGGCACUGACAAUGCAAAGGGCAACUUACCUAGUACUUGAUGAGGCUGAUCGGAUGUUUGACCUAGGGUUUGAGCCUCAAAUUAGAUCUAUUGUUGGUCAGAUUCGGCCAGACCGACAGACAUUGCUCUUUUAUGCGACAAUGCCCCGUAAAGUUGAAAAAUUGGCUAGGGAGAUUCUCUCAGAUCCUAUAAGAGUUACAGUGGGUGAGGUGGGAAUGGCCAAUGAGGAUAUCACUCAGGUUGUUCAUGUAAUUCCUUCUGAUGAUGAAAAGCUGCCCUGGCUUCUUGAGAAGUUACCUGGAAUGAUUGAUGAGGGUGAUGUUUUAGUAUUUGCUUCAAAAAAAGUUGCAGUGGAUGAGAUCGAGUCACAGCUUGCUCAGAAAGGUUUUAAAGUCACAGCUCUGCAUGGUGACAAGGACCAGGCAUCUCGGAUGGAUAUUUUGCAAAAAUUUAAAUCUGGCAUUUACCAUGUUCUUGUUGCAACUGAUGUUGCUGCUCGUGGUCUUGACAUCAAGUCAAUUAAGUCAGUUGUGAACUUUGAUAUUGCAAAGGACAUGGACAUGCACGUCCAUCGAAUUGGUAGAACAGGUCGGGCUGGUGAUAAGGAUGGCACUGCGUACGCUUAUUGCACAGAAAGAGGCACGUUUUGCUGGUGAGUUGGUUAAUAGCUUGGUUGCUGCUGGUCAGAUUGUCUCCACGGAGCUCAUGGACCUUGCGAUGAAGGUAAUUUUGCAGUACUAUUAACAAUUUUUUUUGUGGUUUAUAUAGCGAGUUUAUACAUGCAUCCAACUACCUGCCUUUUUGUUUUAGAGAUGGUGGUUAUAACCAUAGUUUGUAAUCCUAUAAUGCAUUUAAGGCGAAUACAAGUUAUUAAUAUGUUCUCUGGUAAAACGUGCUCUUUUAAUGCAAUCUAGAUUCUGGACAAUUACACCUACAGGUGUUUGUCUCACAAAUAAACUACGUUACUUUCACUCUACUAUAUAGGUGCAUAGGUUGCUUCUGAUUUAGAGUGGGCUUUCGAGAGAGAUGGAUUUGAUGACCAUUUGGUCUUCAAGGCCUUAUUUUGGAAAGCUUCAGUUUGUCCUUGGAAUUACAGCGAUUUUGAGAUCGUUGACUUCAUAAUGUCAAGAUAGUCAAUUUCAGGAAAAGUGCUUAGUUUAGAGAGAGAGUAAUUAGACAGUCUUUAGUAGUCCCAUCUUUACUUCGUACCAUGCUUUGCAUAGAAAAGGGGUUUUUGGGGGUGUAUGUUGGCUUGUGUAUUGAAGCAUAGAGAUGAAUUGAAGAUGAAGCUCAGUCUGGGGACUUAUUAGCUUUUUAUGUAUUAUUAAGUUCUUGCUUGCAUUCUGGGCUACCAAUACAUCGGUUGAGGCCAACCAAUUUGCAUUAAAGAACAAAGAGAAAAAUUGCAUUUUAAGUACUAAAUCUUAAUUACCACAUGGACCCUUAGUAAAUUGUCACUUAUUUUCCCUUGUGCCAAUAUAUCUCAUAUACAUAAAUGCACAGCUUAUCAUGAUAGGUGGCUGCACCUGCAUUAGUUUUAGAAGUUUUACACUAUGAGAGCCACUCAUGCAUCAUUUCUUCAGUCUUGCGACUUUUAAUUCUUGCUUGCUGCUUGUAGCUUUGUAUUUCACGUCCCUCAUAAAUACACUGGUUUCCAUCUCCUACAUGGAUGUACAUCUUUAUAGUUAUUUUGGGUGCACCUCGUCUGUGGAACUUUUGUUGCUUUCCCUUACUAUGUUUCUUGUUUGAUAGCUUUAGAUGUUAGCAUGAGAUGUCAGAUUUCAGAUCUUACAUUCUCUAUUUUAAUGGGAUUUACCUUGUUUAUUAUCAGGAUGGUAGAUUCAGGUCAAAACGCGAUUCAAGAAAAGGAGGUAUAAACUUUAAUCAUACUAAAAUUUCAAUUUUCUUAAGAUUCUUUUGCAGUUUCAUAUUAAAUUAGCCUUUUUCUGUAAUUUCAAAUGAUGAUAUUUAUGGAUUCUGCAGGUGGAAAGAAAGGUAGAGGAAGGGGCGGCGGUGGUCGAGGUGUGCGUGAGGUGGAUUUUGGUCUGGGUAUUGGAUAUAAUACGGAGUCCAAUAGUUCUUCAUCGAAUACUGUUCCUAGUCGAUCUGCCGCAGAAACUCCUCAGAGGACAGGAAUGAUGUCUCAGUUCAAGACUAAAUUUGUUGCCGCUUCAUCUAACUCUCCAAGUCAAGGUUCAGGUAACAACUCUAGUGUGCCCAACAGACCGGCAUUACGAGGAUUUGUAUCCGAUGGUUCAAUCGGUGGGGAUGUAUAUAGAACUCAGACAGCCAGUACAAUUACUCCUGGUCCUCCUACAUCAGUGGUAAAUAAAACUGCUGCUCGGAACACCGGAGCAAAUACAAGUCAGAAGGCCUCCGAAAGGUUAAUAAAAUUGAUGCUCGGUUAGAAUUUUCAAUGUCUUUACGUAUUUGAUUGGUGCUGAUCAGUUUCAUUUGUGUCUUUUGCAGUUCUAGAGACAAACCUAGAGAAAGGCGGCGGCGCUCCGGUUGGGACUGUUGACCGUCCAGUUGAACUCCACCACUCUCACAUCGUGAAUGACGAGUUUUGUAUCUUUUGUAGAUUAAGGCCUGAUAUGCCUGUAUUAUUGUUGAACUUGGUCACUUUCUUUGUCGCUGUGUUUUAAGUUAAAAGAAAUAUAAGAGUUUGUAACUUGCUGCACAAAUAGUAGAUGGCCUAAAAGAUAGUCGGUUUAAAUCAUUAAAUACAUUAUAAAGCGGGCCUCACAAAAAAGUGUCAAAAGUUGUGUUAAAAAAUGUGGUGUUUCACAUCUCUGCUCCAUAUGUUAUUUUUAUUGAUCACUUCGAAUUACUUCAUAAUUCAACAAUUGGUACUGUUCCACUUCUCUUCCUCUCUCCCUUGGUAUACAUAAUAUCAUUUGUUCAAAAAAAAAAAAAAACAAUUGGUACUGUUAAUAUAAUACAAUAUGGCUUUGUUCGAUGUCAAGGAUUGGAUUGAUUUGAUUGGCUUAGUGAUAGGAAUUAUAACGCACCACAAAGUAGCACACAAUAAUCCUAUUGAUUUUCCUUAUUAUCACUAAAUUUGUCGAUUGUAGCAUAUGAAAAUAAGGGUCUUUUCCGCAGAAGAUUGUUUUAGCCAACUACUUAAAAUGUCACAAAAACGGGGUGGCUAUCUCCAUUGACCAGCCACUGAAAAUAAUUAUUAAACUGACUUAUACUCAUCCAAAUGCAACGAAAUUUUGUACAUAUAAACUAGACACACCGAGCUAUGUUCACACAAAUUUUUGGGAUUUUUGGAUUUGAUUAGCUAUUUAAAUUAAAUCGCACAAAACAGAACAACACAAAUUUUAAAUAAUACCAAGAAAUUUUAAUUCACAAAUUAAGAAAACGAGUUAGGGGAAAUGCUAUCCACCACCAAAUAAUCAUGCAAGCAUGUUAUGUUUCAUUAAAAUUCCUUUUAUUUCUGGAUGAAGAUGCUCAAGUUGGCUCAAUGUUAGAACUCAAUCUAUUACUCUUUCUUACGUAGUAUGUUAAGAGAAUGGCGUUUUCAACUUAACUUAGUCCCUAGCAUGCAAUCUAGAAUGGCGUAUUCAUAGAUUUAACAAGUAGAAAUCAUUAAGAAUAAAAAGAGUUUGAGUCAUCACAAGGCAUCGUAAGUACUGGUGUUGUCUUACUUAUCCUAGAAAUCGUUUCACAUGUUAACCACAAUUAACAAGUGCUACUCUAGAACAUAUGUAGGUCCUCAUUCAACAAGGGCAGGCACACAUAUAUUCAUAGCAUUAAAAUCCUAGAUAUGCUCACUAUGUAUGCAUCCAUAGAAACACAUAAAGAAUUUAUCAAUGACAUAAGUAGUGAAACAAUUUUCAUCCUUUCAUAAAAGUCAUUCAAACAAAAUAUCACAACAAACUUACAAUCAUAUUCGGGGCUUCAAAACAGCCCCUAACUACUAAAAAUUAGUUACACAUCAUUAUUUUCAAAUUAAACCAAAAGUUAAACAUGAGUUUGAGACAAUAGAACCGAAAUAGAAGAGUGCAGAGGUUUCCUCUUUCCCUUGCCAAGCUUGCAGUGCAGCUUAAGCUCUCUUUUUCUAUUGACAGCUAGGACAGUAUGGGAGAGAUAAUAUUGACAGCUAGGACAGUAUGGGAGAGAGGAAAUAUGACAGUAUGGAGAGAGGGAAUAUUGCUCGUGAAAAGGAAUGUUGUAUAUUCCUUGACAGAUAGACAAUGCUGUAUGGGAGAAAGGAAUGCUGCUUAUUUUUUCUCUAGUUGCUGCAUCAUGACAGCAAGCACAACACCUGUAUUGCUUUUCUUUAUUGCAUGCGUGUAUGUAAAAUGCAUAUAAACAAUGCUGCCGUUGCAGCAGAAUGAAUAAGAAAGAAACAACAAAGUUGAAACCAAAACAUCAAUAUGGUAUCAGAGCAGGAACCAUAGGGUCCUGCCUCUGUUGAUUAUCCUUCUAGCUUGUUCUUCUUCCUCUGUUCAUCAUUUGUUGUGAUGGCAGAAGAUAUCUCAUUUAGUUAUGAGGCUACAAGUCCCUCAACUCUAACACCAGCCAACAUGAUACACGGGGAGAGCAACCCACGACUGUGCUCUGUGUUGUUGAAUGAGUUCAACUACUUGCCGUGGUCACGAGCUAUAUCUCUUGCCCUAGGAGGAAGAUCGAAACUAGGGUACGUAAAUGGAACCAUCAAGCCUCAAGAGUCUUCCUCAGCUACCUUUGAUGCAUGACACUCAAAUGACCAGCUUGUUAUGUCCUGGAUACUUAACUCGAUGGAGCCCAAGUUGUCCGGGAUCUUCAGCUACUCAGAUUCUUCACACAUCUUAUGGGAAUCGAUCAAGGAAAUGUACGGCAGUCAACACAAUGCUGCUCGUGUGUUUGAACUGAAGAAAAGCCUCGCUGGGCUUAAGCAAGGUGAUCAAACUUUCAUUCAGCAUCUUGGAAGCAUGAAAUCUAUGUGGAAUGAACUUGAUCUAUACCGUCCACACACCACUGAAUCCGCUGUACUCUUGAAAAGGGCUGAUGAAGAUAAAGUGUUCCAACUAUUGGCAAGUUUGGGAGUUGAGUAUGAAGACUUGCGUAGCCACUUACUAAUGAAUCCUAAGCUACCAUCUUUCGUCAACGUGUGUCAUGCAGUCCAAAGAGAAGAAACUCGAAGGAAAGUAAUGCAUGUUGAGCCCCGGUCUAGCCCAAAAGCUAGGGUUUUCACUAGUAACCACAACUUCACUAGUGAAAGGCCUUUUAAUGGAAGGAAAGCUGACUGGAAAUGCACAUACUGCAACACCAAGGGGCACGUACGGGAAAAAUGCUGGAUUUUACAUCCUGAGUUAAAACCUAAGUUUAACAAGGAAGGAAAAAUGAUUAGGGAUGGGAAAGGGUUUGCGCCUAAAGCCUUCCAAUCUCUGAGUUGUCCAUCUAAUGAGAUGUCAAACUUCACCUCAAACCCUAUCUCCCUGAUCAAUGAGUUUGCCGCCUUUCUCCAAAAGAAGAGUGAUAUCGCUGAGGGUAACAAUGUCACCACGGAAAAUCCCACAGAAAUGCUUGGAAAAUUUGCUGGUUUUUUGGCAAAUUCAAACACCACUAAAUUCGGCAAUAUCCCAGGUAUCAUUUGUGCACUUUCCACGGCUCUCAAUGUAUAUCUCACACACGAUUUUUAGAUUAUAGACUCAGGUGCCACUGACCAUAUAACCAACAAACAAGCUUGUCUACAUGAGUUUCAAAAAUUACCUAAUCAUACUCAUGUGUCUGUAGCGAAUGGGAAAGGGGAACCAGUUCUAGGAAAAGGAAAAAUUAAAUUGAUGGGGAGUGAUGUAGAGUCUACGGCACUAUAUGUACCCUCAUUUCCAUUUCAACUUCUGUCCAUAGGAAAAAUCACACAUACUUUGAACUGUCUUGCUAUUUUUUCUCCUCACACAGUUGUAUUUCAGGAUCGAGUCACUCAGAAGAAGAUUGGUGAGGGUUUUUUCUUAAAUGGUCUGUACUACCUCUCAAAGGAGUUCAAUCAAGUUAAGGAACCCAUUGUCAACCUAAGCCAUGUCCAGAAGCAUCAACUUUGGCACCAACGCCUAGCUCAUCCCUCCGAACCAGUAAUGUCUAAAUUAUUUUCCAAAUUAUUGUACCAACACACAUGAGUGUGAGAUCUGUCAAAUGUCAAAAGCCACUAGGCUACCUUUUGUACCCUCUAAAUCUAGAACUAGUAAACCCCUUGAAGUUGUACACUCAGAUAUUUGGGGACCUUCCCGUGUUGAGUCAUUUGAUAGGUACAAGUAUUUUGUUACAUUCAUAGAUGACUACUCUAGGGUUACUUGGUUAUAUCUCUUAAAGUCUAAAAGUGAAUUUUUUUUACAGCUUUUCAAGACUUUCAUAAGCUAAUAACCAACCACUUCUCCUCAAAAAUAUGUACCUUACGGUCAGAUAAUGGCACCGAGUAUACCUCCAAUAAUCUGUCAAACUACUUAAGCAGUCAUGGUAUCUUGCAUCAAACUAGUUGUGUAGGUACACCACAACAAAAUGGUGUGGCCGAACGCAAGAAUAAGGAUUUAUUGGAGAAAACUAGGUCUCUUAUGUUUCAGAUGCAAGUUCCCAAGAGAUUCUGGUCCCAAGCACUCCUUACUGCAGCCUAUAUCAUUAACAGACUUCCCACUCGUGUCCUGAAUUCCAAAUCACCUUUUGAAGUUAUGAAGGGAAGAACUGCUGAUUUAACUCAUUUCAGGAUUUUUGGGUGCACGUGUUAUGUUCACGUUCAAGCAAAUCAUCGUGAUAAACUCGAACCUCGAGUUAUCAAGUGUGUGUUUAUGGGGUACUCGAGUUCUCAAAAGGGAUACAAAUGUUAUAACCCACACACUGGGAAGCUGGUUGUCUCUAGGGAUGUACGGUUUGAUGAACACGUUCAUUUCUUCAACAAUCACUCCCCAAAUAGUUCUCAGGGGGAGAGUCUAAUGGAUAUUUUUCCACUACCAACUCUCGCUGAAAUCCAUACAGACACCCCCCCAGUGAUCCUCCAGUUGAUGAGAUGGUCAGUGAAGAUAUACCUCGUGCCCCAGCACCAGUUGUUGCCACACAACCAAUUGUAGCAACACAAAAAAGGAAUCCAACUCGCGAUCGCAACCCUCAUCGACGGCUACAAGAGUACAUCACUUACAGUGCAAGGCAUCCCAUUUCUGAAGCUCUCACUUAUCACAAACUGUCAGCAUCUCAUGCAUCAUUCCUAAGUCAGUUGGCAAACAAUGUUGAGCCUAAAAACUUUCAAGAAGCAGUAUGUAUACCUGUGUGGAGAGAUGCCAUGCAUGAUAAGCUCAAAGCACUGAACGAAAAUCAAACCUGGAGUGUAGUAGAUCUUCCCAAAGGGAAGAAAGCCGUAGGGAGUAGAUGGAUUUACAAGACCAAAUUCAAUUCUAAUGGUACCAUUGAAAGACACAAGGCCCGGUUGGUUGCACGGGGUUUCACUCAAACUUACGGCAUUGACUACAAGGAGACCUUUGCUCCCGUUGCCAAAAUGAACACAGUGAGGGUGUUGUUAUCAGUAGCAGUCAACCACGACUGGCCCUUGUUUCAAAUGGAUGUUAAAAACGCAUUUCUUCACGGUGAGCUUCAAGAAGAGGUGUACAUGAAGCUACCUCCAGGACACCCUCAAGAAAAAGAACCUACCAAAGUCUGCAAGCUUCAUAAAGCUAUAUAUGGACUUAAACAGUCUCCUCGAGCUUGGUAUGCCAAACUAAGCUCUGUUCUUGAAGUGGCAGGGUUCAAAAGGAGUCAUGAUGACUCAUCUCUCUUUGUUCGAAGUGGUGUCCAAGGGAAGCUUGUAGUUCUUAUAUGUUGACGACCUUAUCAUCACGGGGGACAACAUGGAUGAACUCGAGGCUCUUAAAAGGUCGCUUCACCAACAGUUUGCCAUUAAAGAUUUGGGAUCCUUGAAAUAUUUUCUGGGUAUUGAGAUGGCUACCUCAUCCAAGGGUUUAUUCUUAAAUCAAAGGAAGUAUGUUCUUGACCUUCUUGAUGAAGCACAUAUGGUCAACUGCAAACCUGCCCGCACCCCACUUGCUAGCAAACUUCAACUGGAUGCUCCAGGUACCCUUCUUUCAAAUCCUAAUGUGUAUCAACGCAUGGUUGGGAAACUCAUUUACCUCACUAUCACACGGCCUGAUAUUGCUUACUCCGUAAGCCUUAUCAGUCAGUUUAUGCAUUCUCCUACAUUGGUUCAUUGGGAAAUUGUCAAGAGAAUACUUCGAUACCUCAAGGGCUCGAUCGGCAGAGGCAUACUCAUGCAGAAAAAUGAGUCUAAUCACAUUCUGGCCUAUACCGAUGCGGAUUGGGCUGGUAAUUCCCUUGAUCGAAAAUCCACCACAGGUUUUUGUACCUUUGUAGGUGGAAACCUUGUCACCUGGAAAAGUAAAAAACAAACAGUGGUUGCACGGUCCAGUGCUGAAGCUGAAUAUCGGGCCAUGGUAGCAACAGCUUCUGAACUCAUCUGGUUGAAGAGUCUCCUUCUUGAUCUUGGCUUCACCAGUAAGGAACCCAUGUCCUUAUUCUGUGACAACCAGGCUGCCAUGCAUAUUGCAUCCAAUCCUGUAUUCCAUGAACGGACUAAACACAUUGAAGUUGACUGCCACUACAUCCGCACUCAAGUUCAAUCCAAAGUCAUCGAAACUGUGUACACUAGAAGUCAUGAUCAACUUGCGGACCUUUUCACGAAAGCUCUUGAUUUUACACAGUUUCAACGGUUAUUGUUCAAGCUUGGAUCAAUCAACCCCCUUAAUCCCGCUUGAGGGGGAGUAUUGACAGCUAGGACAGUAUGGGAGAGAGGGAAUAUGAUAUUGACAACUAGGACAGUAUGGGAGAGAGGAAAUAUGACAGUAUGGAGAGAGGGAAUAUUGCUCGUGAAAAGGAAUGUUGUAUAUUCCUUGACAGAUAGACAAUGCUGUAUGGGAGAAAGGAAUGCUGCUUAUUUUUUCUCUAGUUGCUGCAUCAUGACAGCAAGCACAACACCUGUAUUGCUUUUCUUUAUUGCAUGCGUGUAUGUAAAAUGCAUAUAAACAAUGCUGCCGUUGCAGCAGAAUGAAUAAGAAAGAAACAACAAAGUUGAAACCAAAACAUCAAUAUUUUCCUUCUGCUCUUCUUUUCCCUUCUGCUCUCUGCACUUCCUCUUCUUCUAUCCGUCUCUCCCUCUUUCCUCUUCUUUCGUUUUUGUUCUUCUCCUCUGCUCUGUCCGUUUCCUCUCUUCUUUAUAUUUUUUUCUUCUUUCUUCUUUUCUUCUUUCUGUCCUUUUCUUCUUUUCCUUUCUUUGUUUUGUUUUCUUUCUUUUCUUAUGUAACCCCCCCUUUUCUUCUACAAACAUCAUUAUGAAUCAUGAUGAUGUUUCAAACAUCAUCAUGACUCAUCAUUAUCUUUUUUUUUAAUUUAAUUUAAAAGCUGAUCUACACAGAGACGAAUUUAUUACAUAAAAUUUCACUUGUUCUAUUUUUAUUUUCUUUGCUAGACAAAUCCUAUAAUACGCAAAAACAAAGUAAUAGCUCAAAAAUAUAAGGAACUAACUAAUAAAAGACAAAUGAAAUUGAUGUAAAAUAUAUAUAAAUAUGAACUUAUCACUUAGCUUGAAAAAUCACAAAAUUCAGUGAAUAAAAAUACAGAUUGUUUAUUUUGUCCAAAUGAAGAUGGAAGAGAAAAAGAAACAGACUAGUAUAACAAAUAUUUACGGACCAUGCAUCGAUUAUUAAUUACACCUAUACGUCAAUUGAUAAUUAUAAUUUUUGUUUUUAAAUGUUAUUAUCUCUUAAAUAAAUAACCAUGUUGUUUUUAUCUCCUCAUCCUAUGUUACGUGUCGAAUUCGUGUGAAGUCUGGCGGGACAAGAGAUGACUUUGAUCACCAUGAGCUCCUUUCCAUAGCCAUUUUUCUUUACCUUGAGCCCCUUACACAAAGUCCGUUCUUAAGAUCUGGAGUUUUCUCUCAAUGGCUGCUAAAAGUUCCCGAGAUUCUUCUUCGUCCUCUUACCGGUGUUCCGCCUUCUUGAGUUUCAGAGGCAAGGACACGCGCAAGGGGUUUACUGAUCACCUCUAUAGAGCCUUGGAGCUAGCAGGAAUCCACACGUUUAGAGACGAUGAUGAAAUCAAGAGAGGGGAGAAUAUUGAGUCGGAGUUAGAGAAGGCGAUACAGGAGUCACAAGUAUCCAUAAUUGUCUUCUCCAAGGACUACGCUUCCUCAAGGUGGUGUUUGAACGAACUUCUGAAGAUCGUCGAACGUAGAAAUACUGAUCGUAGACAUUUGGUUCUGCCAGUUUUCUAUGAUGUGGAUCCAUCCGAUGUCAGGAAGCAGAGUGGUUCUUUUGCUGAAGCAUUUGCCAGACAUGAGGAGCGAUUCAGUACGGAGAUGGACAAGGUGGAGCUGUGGAGAAGAGCUCUUGGAGAUGUUGCAUCUUUGGGAGGCAUGGUUUUAGGAGAUCGGUAAUUUCUUUUCUCAAUAUGUUCUUGAGCUUAUUGAAAGUGUUUUAAAUUAAGUAAAAUUGCAGAUAUGGCAGUGAAGCUUGAAGUUGUUCAAUUUUGGUUUAUAUGCUAUAAUAUAUACUGCGAUUUUGGUUUAUAUGUUACUAUCGAUUUUGGUUUAUAUGUUCUCACGCUUAUUUCUGCGUCGUAUAUUUCGAUUCAAAUGAAUUACAGGUAUGAGGGGCAGUUCAUCGAAGAUAUUGUUGAAGAGAUUAGAAAUAAAGUGGGUCACGCAGCUUUAGACGUCGCUCCCUUUGCAGUUGGAAUGGAUAAUCGUGUGAGACGCCUAAACAUGUGGUUACAAGAUGGAUCAAAUGAUGUUGGUUUAGCUGUCAUCUGUGGGAUGGGUGGAAUUGGCAAGAGCACCAUUGCGAAAGCUGCUUAUAAUCAAAACUUUGAUAGAUUUGAAGGUAGCAGCUUUCUUGCAGAUAUUCGAGAAUCUUCAGAACAACCUAAUGGUUUUGCUUGCUUGCAAAGAAAACUUCUUUCAGAUAUCCAAAAGGGGAACACAAAGAAAGUAUACAAUGUGGCUGAAGGAAUAAGCAGGAUCAAACGAGCUGUAGGCUACAAAAAAGUUCUUAUUGUUCUCGAUGAUGUGAACAGCCGGGAUCAACUCAAUGCAAUUCUUGGAAUGCGAGAAUGGCUUCAUCAAGGAAGUAAAAUUAUCAUAACAACUCGACAUGAACAUUUGUUAAAUGCUCAUGAAGUUUGUGAAAAGUUUAUGGUUCGAGAACUGGAUGAGUAUGAAUCACUUGAGCUUUUCAGUUGGCAUGCCUUCAGACAAUCCCAUCCAGUAGAAGGUUACAUGGAGCUUUCAAGACAUGUGGUGCGGCACUGUGGAGGGCUUCCAUUAGCUCUUCAAGUUGUGGGAUCUUCUCUAUCUGGAAAAAGUGAAGAAGUAUGGCAAAGUGCAUUGCAGAAGUUAGACGUGAUCCCCAAUGACAAAAUUCAAAAAGUUCUGAGGAUAAGUUUUGAUUCUUUACCGGAUGAUCAUGACAAAAAUUUAUUCCUUCACAUAGCCAGCUUCUUCACAGGAAAGACGAUGGAUUAUACAAUUACAAUACUGGACAACUUAGAGUUUUGCACAAGGAUUGGGAUUGAAAAUCUAGUUGACAGAUGCCUAGUGAAAAUUCAAGGGUCGAAGUUGGCCAUGCAUCAGUUGGUGAGAAACAUGGCAAUGACAAUUAUUCGCGAAGAAUCACCUCAUGACCCUGGAAAACGUAGUAGAGUGUUGCAGAAUGAUGCCUCUAAUAUUUUGAGAAAAUUAAGUGUAAGAACUAUGUUUUUCAUGCGUAUGUUUUUAGUUAUGAUUUGCAUGUGUAGUACUAGUUAUAUACUUACCCAAAUGCUCUGAUUUUUUUGCAGGGCACGGAAAAUAUUAAGGGCCUCAUGCUCAACCUUGCUAGC
rnacentral:lncRNA from 1 species